GGGUCUUUAUUUAGACUAGAAAAUCUUUAAAAUCUUUCGGAUCAAAUUUAUUGAUUGAAUUAUUAACACCUGAAGCAGAUUCAUCAUAACAUAUAUAUAUGUGCAUCAUAUUUUACAUGUAUUUAUCUUUUCAUGUACAUAAAAAUAUACAAUCAUGUUAAAAAACUGAGUGUGGGAGGAGCUUCAUAUUAGAAUCAAACAGAAAAACAGUUUCUGUCUGACCGGUUAUACACACACACACCUACACGCACACACCUACACAUACAAACACACACUCACACAUUCAUACUGACCAUUUAGAUUAUAUUGACUAUAUUGAACAUAUAGCUCCUGAAAGAACAUGAGAUUCAGUCCACAUAAAGCUGUAUUCUAUUUCCCUCUGUUGACAGUUUAAAACCAUGAGACGCUGCAGUUUAAAAAUGCGAUUCAAGAUCCAUAAAUCAGAAUUAAAAAAACGAAGAAUUGAAAACAGCAACAAAAAUAUAUGUAUUGAUAAAAUGACGGAGUCAAAAAGACCAAUAGAAUUGAAAGAAAGAGAAGAAGCUGUUAAAUGAUUAUUAGAUCUCUUCCAACAACACAAACACAGAGAGAGGGAGCUCCGUAGAGAAUGACUGGAAACCGGUGAAGUGACGCGGGGGGGUCAGAUUGGAGUUGAGACCGGUCGAGUUCCAUAGAGAAUGAACAGGAAGGGAGAGAGAGAGAGAGAAUCAUCGUCAUGUGGUAGAACAGGUUUGGGCGAGGCGGUCGAGCGAGCCUCACACACACAGUAAAAAGGAGAGAGACACAGAUUUGUACUGUUGCUGGAGUUUCCUUCAGUUUGAGACUUGAUUUGACUUCAGAAGAAAGAGGAUACAACCCGAAGGAGAAGAAGAAGGUUAUCAGAGGUUUCUUGACAACCAGGGAGUGAAGAAGAAGAAGAAGAAGAAGAAGAAGAAGAAGAAGAAGAAGAAGAAGAAGAAGAAGAAGAAGAAGAAGAAACACCUGUGGCCUCUUAACAGAGCUCUCUGAUUGGUCAGAUUUAGAGUGGUCGCCUGUGACACGUCACCAUGUCAUCAAACAUCCACGUUUCCCUCGACAAUCCGUAUGGUCAGGUGACCAUCCCGAGGGCCAAGCUACGCUCCUCUGAUGAUGCUGCCACGGUGAUAGCCAAUCCAAUGGCUCUGAAUAGUAAUGAGGGGAACCCGUACGGGUCAUCGAGCGCUGCCCCCCCACCACCCUACAUGGUGAAGGAAGAUGGAGGGGGGGACGAAGAGGAGGUGAAGUGGUGCCGCGCCUGCUGCUACCGCUGUAGAAAGAACAAAUGAUGUCACAGCAGCAGGACGUGACGUCAAAGCGACAGGAUGUGACGUCAUGACACUAGGAAGAUUGGGAUUGGCUCAGAUUAAUUUAUUCAUCAGUUUUUCUCGGAGAAAUGAAGGAUGGAAGGAAAGGAGACAACUGAGGAGGUGAAUGAUGAGGAAGAAAGGAAGAUUCACCAACUUGAGGAAGUUGCAACCAUUUUGUGUUAGUUUAUGUAAAACUGUAUUAAUUUCUGUUUGUUUAGUUUAAACACUUAAUAGAUACAAAUAAUUUUUAGACAAAGCUUCAAGCUUCAUUUCCUGAAACAGGCUCCACCCCCUGAGGAAAACCAUGAGAUACAGCAGAAAGCCUCAGAAGCAAAACGACCUGAACCUGAACUCGAUGUCUCUGCUGCUUCUGAACUUGUUUCUACUUUAUUUAACAUUUAUACCAACAAAACAACAAUUUCAGUUUUAUUUGUCUGUUAAAUGAUUUUAUUAGUUUCUGUUCUGAUGUUUGAAAAGUAAAGGAGAGACAUCAUUUACACCACGUGGGAGCAGAUCAGACCCAAAAUGGCUGCUGCUGUUGUUACCGGUAAUUUAUCAAUCUUAAGAAAAUAUAUAAACCUUUUAGAGGUUUGUAAUUUCAUUGCUCACCUAAAAUACUCAUAUUCAUUACACUUCAUUAAUACCAGUUUAAACUUAAUUAAUCCAGGUUUAAAAUUGAUUUACCUCCGUUCCUGUUUGAUAUGAGUCUUUACCUCUGAGCAAUUUUUAUUAUCACGGGACUUAGACAUUAAUGAUGACGUUACACAUAAAUUCCUGUAAACUGGACAAAUCAGGUUGAUUGUAGAUUAUUAAUAAUUUCUUUGUUUAUUCAAACAUCUGUUUUGUAUAUAGUUUAUAUUUUAAGAAGUUUUCUCUGCAGAUGAAAUGUUUUCAUUCAGGAAGUGUUGGAGAUUAAAGUGUUUAUAUUUUCAUAUCAAUGACUCUGUGGUGUAAAUUCGAGCAGACAGCAGAAUGUGGUGUUUGCGGUGAAAUAAAAACCAUGUGAAGAG